CUCAACCUCGGAAGCGCGUUUGAAACUACUGUUCUUGAGGGUAGGCGGAGAAAACGGAAUUCUGUGUGUAGCGGUGAAAUGCGUGGAUAUACAGAAGAACACCGGUGGCGAAAGCGGUUUUCUAGCUUAUUCCUGACACUGAGGCGCGAAAGCUAUGGGAGCAAACAGGAUUAGAUACCCUGGUAGUCCUAGCCGUAAACGAUGCAUACUUGGUGUAGUCGGUCUCAACCCCGACUGUGCCGGAGCUAACGCGUUAAGUAUGCCGCCUGGGGAGUACGCUCGCAAGGGUGAAACUCAAAAGAAUUGACGGGGACCCGCACAAGCAGUGGAGCAUGUGGUUUAAUUCGAUGCAACGCGAAGAACCUUACCUGGGCUUGACAUGUAGCGGACAGCGCAAGAAAUUGCGUUUUCCUUCGGGACCG
rnacentral:rRNA from 1 species